rnacentral:rRNA from 1 species
UACGAAGGGGGCUAGCGUUGCUCGGAAUCACUGGGCGUAAAGCGCACGUAGGCGGCUUUCUAAGUCAGGGGUGAAAUCCUGGAGCUCAACUCCAGAACUGCCUUUGAUACUGGAGAGCUCGAGUCCGGAAGAGGUGAGUGGAACUCCGAGUGUAGAGGUGAAAUUCGUAGAUAUUCGGAAGAACACCAGUGGCGAAGGCGGCUCACUGGUCCGGUACUGACGCUGAGGUGCGAAAGCGUGGGGAGCAAACAGGG